rnacentral:tRNA from 1 species
GGGAGUGUAGCUCAGUGGCACAGUGUCUGCCUCAAAAGCAUGAGUCCCUGAGUUCAAUUCCCAGUACCA